GAUGAACGCUAGCUAUACGCUUAACACAUGCAAGUCGAGGGACCGGCGCACGGGUGAGUAACGCGUAUCCAACCUACCCAUAACUAAGGGAUAACCCAGCGAAAGUUGGACUAAUACCUUAUGGUUAUGGAUGGGGAUGCGUCUGAUUAGCUUGUUGGCGGGGUAACGGCCCACAAAGGCAACGAUCAGUAGGGGUUCUGAGAGGAAGGUCCACCACAUUGGAACUGAGACACGGUCCAGACUCCUACGGGAGGCAGCAGUGGGGAAUAUGGCACAAUGGGCGCAAGCCUGAUGCAGCCAUGCCGCGUGUAUGAAGAAGGCUUCGGGUUGUAAAGUACUUUCAGCGGGGAGGCGUUACCCGCAGAAGAAGCACCGGCUAACUCCGUGCCAGCAGCCGCGGUAAUUC
rnacentral:rRNA from 1 species